GGGCCCUUUAGCUCAGUUGGUUAGAGCGCACCUCGAUAAGGGUGAGGUGGUCGGUGGUUCGAGUCCACUAGGGCCCACCA
rnacentral:tRNA from 1 species